rnacentral:rRNA from 1 species
GACGAACGCUGGCGGCGUGCUUAACACAUGCAAGUCGAACGGGCCUGUCUUCUUUUUUGGGGGGUGGGUUGAGUGGCGAACGGGUGAGUAUCACGUGAGUAACCUGCCCUUCGGUCCUGGAUAACCGCUUUAAAGGGCGGCUAAUACGGGGUGGUCCGGUUGGUCCGCAUGGGCUGGUCGGGAUAGAUUCACUGUUUUUGGUGUUUCGGCGGGGGAUGGGCUCGCGGCCUAUCAGCUUGUUGGUGGGGUGAUGGCCUACCAAGGCGGUGACGGGUAGCCGGCCUGAGAGGGUGGGCGGCCACACUGGGACUGAGAUACGGCCCAGACUCCUGCGGGAGGCAGCAGUGGGGGGUAUUGCACAAUGGGCGGAAGCCUGAUGCAGCGACGUCGCGUGAGGGAUGGAGGCCUUCGGGUUGUGAACCUCUGUUUCCGGUGGUGAAGGCCCUGUCCGUGUGGUGGGGUUGACGGUAGCCGGGGAUGAAGCGCCGGCUAACUACGUG